ensembl:lncRNA
AUCCUGAAUCACCUUCACUAUCAUUAUUUUGAUUUUUUUUUCUGUAAGGUUGCCUAUCUCUACUUCAUUUAGUUGUUUUUCUGGGGUUUUAUCUUGUCCCUUCAUCUGGGACAUAGCUUCCUCUUUUUUCUGAUUAACUCUCUGUAAUGUGGUUUUUGUUUUAGUCACUAUGGGACUGUGGUUCUUCUUGCUUCUUCUGUCUGCCCUCUGAUGGAGGAGGCUAAGAGGCUUGUGUAAGCUUUCUGAUGGGAGGGACUGGUAGUAGGAAAAACAGGAUCUUGCUCUGAUGGGCAGGGCCUUGCUCAGUAAAGUUUUAAUCCAAUUAUCUGCUGAUGGUUCCAUGGUCGGAUUAAUGUCAACCUCCAAGACAGUUUAUGCCAAGGGGGACCUUCCCAGACUGCUGCUGCCAGUGCCUCCAUCCCUGUGGUGAGCCCCUGCAGACCCAAUCCUCCAUAGGAGACCCUCCAACACGUGCAGUCAUGUCCGACUCUUUGCAACCUGAUGGACUGCAGCCUGCCAGGCUCCUCUAUCCACAGAAUUCUCCAGGCAGAUUAUUUACCAUCUGAACCACAGGAGAAGCCCAUCUCUCACAUGUGUCCUAUAUUAAGAAAUCUACUUCUUGCCUAUUACUUUGCCUCUUGCUGAAUUCCUUCUGUACUGAGACACAAAGAACCUGAACCUCAGUAAGUCCAGACACCGGGUGAGUGAUUAUAGUCAAGACUGUAGAUUCAGGUCCCAAUCACAAUUUUGGCCAGGUUCAAGUCCCAAUCUGAAGUGCAUGGUUUCAAUCUCCAGAACCUAUGAAUAUACUAUCUUACUUGGCAAGCAGAAUUUUGCAGGCCAAGGAUUAAGGAUCUUGAGAAGGAAAGAUUAUCCUCACCAUCCAUGUAAGGCCCCAUUGUAAUCACAAGAGUCAUAAGAGGAAAGCAAGAGGGUCAAAGUCAAAACAAAAAGAAGAGCAUGUGGUCAAGGAAGCAAGAGAGAGAGAAGAGUCAAAGGGAGAAGAUGCCAUGUUGCUGGCUUGGAAGAUGGAGCAAAGAGCCACCAGCCAGGGAAGGGGAUACAGGUUCAAUCCCUGGGUGGGGAACUAAGAUCCUACAUGCCUACAGGACAACCAAGCCUGCGCACCACAACUAGAGAAGCCCACACACUGCAAUGAAGGUUCCCAUAAGCUGCAACUAAACUGCAACACAGCUAAGAACUAAGGCCCCCAGCCAGGUGGAAGAUGGCAACUUCAGACUGAGCAAAAGAUUCCUGGAGCACUGCUCACCACCAACUCAUCAGAAGAAAGUCACACACUCUGAAGCCUUCACUCCACAUUUUGUCUACAAAAACUCUUCCCCUGAAAACUAUCAGGGAGUUUGGGGCUUUUGAGCAUGAACUACCUGUUCUCUUUGCUUGGCCUAGCAAUGAACCUUUCUCUGCUCCAAACUCUGACAGUUUGGCUGGCCUCACUGUGUGUCAGGCACACAAACUUAUGUUCAGUAAUAUAAGGAACAGUUUCUUGCUUGAAAACUUUAGAAGAAAUUCAGCCUUUCUAACACCUAGAUUUUAGACUUCUGACCUCCAGAAUUGUAAGAAAAUAAAUUUGUAUUGUUUUAAGCCACUAGAUCAGCCCUGGGUGUUCAUUGGAAGGAAUGAUGCUAAAGCUGAAACUCCAGUACUUUGGCCACCUCACGCAAAGAGUUGACUCAUUGGAAAAGACUCUGAUGCUGGGAGGGAUUGGGGGCAGGAAGAGAAGGGGACGACAGAGGAUGAGAUGGCUGGAUGGCAUCACUGACUCGAUGGACACGAGUCUGAGUGAAUUCCGGGAGUUGGUGAUGGACAGGGAGGCCUGGCAUGCUGCGAUUUGUGGAGUCGCAAAGAGUCGGACACGAAUGAGCGACUGAACUGAACUGAACUGAAGCCACUAUAAGCCAUUAAAUUCAUGGUAAUUUGUUACAACAGCAAUAGGAAUCUAAUAAAG